rnacentral:rRNA from 1 species
ACUCAAAUGAAUUGACGGGGGCCCGCACAAGCGGUGGAGCAUGUGGUUUAAUUCGAUGCUACACGAAGAACCUUACCUACUUUUGACAUCCUGCGAAUUUGCCUGAGAGGGCGAAGUGCCGCAAGGAGCGCAGAGACAGGUGCUGCAUGGCUGUCGUCAGCUCGUGUUGUGAGAUGUUGGGUUAAGUCCCGUAACGAGCGCAACCCUUGCCCUUAGUUGCCAGCGAGUGAAGUUGGGGACUCUAAGGGGACUGCCGGUGAUGAACCGGAGGAAGGCGGGGAUGACGUCAAGUCAUCAUGGCCUUUAUAAGUAGGGCUACACACGUGCUACAAUGGGGCGUACAGAGGGAAGCGAACCCGCGAGGGGGAGCCAAUCCCAGAAAGCGUCUCGUAGUCCGGAUUGGAGUCUGCAACUCGACUCCAUGAAGUCGGAAUCGCUAGUAAUCGCGAAUCAGCGAUGUCGCGGUGAAUACGUUCCCGGGCCUUGUACACACCGCCCGU